AUGGCGAAGAAGGCCGCAAAGCAAGCUGUUGGUGAAGCAAGGGGUCGGGCAUAUGAGGACCUCUACCAACGGUUAGGCACGAAGGAAGGUGAAAGGGACAUCUAUAAGAUGGCUAAGAUCCAGGAGAGGAAGACGAGGGAUAUUGGCCAAGUCAAAUGCAUCAAGGACGGAGCAGGCCAACUCUUGGUGAAGGACGAAGAGAUUAAGCAUAGAUGGCGGGAGUACUUCGACAAGCUGUUCAAUGGGGAGAAUGAGAGUUCUACCAUUGAACUGAAUGACUCCUUUGAUGAGACCAGCAUGCGUUUUGUGCGGCGCAUCCAGGAGUCUGAGGUGAAGGAGGCUUUAUAA
rnacentral:rRNA from 1 species